AUUGAACGCUGGCGGCAGGCCUAACACAUGCAAGUCGAACGAGUGGCGGACGGGUGAGUAAUGUCUGGGAAACUGCCCGAUGGAGGGGGAUCACUACUGGCAACGGUAGCUAAUACCGCAUACUAUCAGAUGUGCCCAGAUGGGCUUAGCUAGUUGGUGGGGUAACGGCUCAACAAGGCGACGAUCCCUAGCUGGUCUGAAGGGAUGACGGGCCACACUGGAACUGAAACACGGUCCGGACUCCUACGGGAGGCAGCAGUGGGGAAUAUUGCACAAUGGGCGCAAGCCUGAUGCAGCCAUGCCGCGUGUAUGAGGAAGGCCUUCGGGUUGUAAAGUACUUUCAGCGGGGAGGCGUUACCCGCAGAAGAAGCACCGGCUAACUCCGUGCCAGCCGCCGCGGUAAUAC
rnacentral:rRNA from 1 species